UCCCUUUUUCUGGUCUUUUU
rnacentral:siRNA from 1 species